CUUUAUUCUUCGAGGCUGGUAUCGUCCGUGAGGUUGAUUUUGAAAGGCGAUUUUAGAAGCUCGACCAGCAGUUGGGUCAGAAAAUAGAAAAAAUCCUCAGCAAUAAUGGAUCCUUGGUGCUGUCCUACGAAGGGUACAAUAGACAGCCGCCCUUCGUCCCGAAGAUUAUGUAGGAGCCGCUCCCCCUGCACUUCAAGCUGCCUCAGCUGAAGGUCUAUGAUGGGACCACC
rnacentral:lncRNA from 1 species